rnacentral:lncRNA from 1 species
CAGAGUGCCAGCUUGGGGAGCCUGCUGGUUUUAUUUCCUGGUAAUGAGGCCUUUCAUUUGUUUUUGAGUCUUCAUUUUGGGCAUGCCUUUUGUAUUUUUCUAAUUUUGUACACAUUUAUGUUUCGUCACCAUCUGAACAAAUAAUAAUCUGCUUUAACUGGCCGACCAAGAGGUCAAGAGAGAGCUGAUCUUGGACCAAGAGAACAUCAGAUACGGGGGAGGAGAGCGAUACAUGGGGAGAGAUGGAGAGGGGAAAAUAAAAGCACUUUGCAGUGGAGCACCAAUCAACUCCAUCUAUUGGCAGUCCCAGUGGACCACAAACCUGAUGCCUUAUCAAAGGAAUUGAUAGAAAGAACAUGGCACAAACACAACUGAAUCAUAGAGGUUGGUGACGCAAACCCAGACCUCUCUCUCUCCCUCAUCUUGUUUCUGGCCCAUGGUAGUGAGGUAUUCUGGGCUCAGGGACAUGAGUCACCAUCCAGAGGAUGCUGCAUGACGUAGCGAACAACCUCUCUUCAAGCACGACAGCAAUUGGUCUAAUUGGAGUGAUGGUCACACUAUGAUCAGACUCUGGAAGGUUGUCCUGUACAACACUGGUAACAGACAAAUCAUCUAAUCCUCCAACAAUGUACUAGGCCAUCUGGCUCAGACAAUCAACUAAUAUUGGCAUAGCUGGACCUGGAAGUCUUCACCAGUCCAACCACCAUCUCCUGACCCUGCUGUUUGUUUUGAGCGACGCAGAGGGUGAUUUGGGCCAGGACAGAGUACAGUCUGCGGUGUACCUAACAAGCUGGAUAGGAAGCCUAUGGGACUGCCUGUCUUUUUGCAGACCAGUAUUGGCUGCAAAUGAUGAGUGUGUAAAGCUUGGGCUACGUUUUGUGUGUGUGUGUGUGUGAAUGUACAAGGUUGAGCACACAUUGGUGAAUAAGAAAGCCAAACACCAAGAUUGAGGCAGGCCUGGCUAACAAGCUGUGCUGUGCUAAGAGGCUCAGAACAAAACUCUUGUUGUUGGCUGUCCAGAUGGAUCCUGGUGGAUGGACAAUGGAUGAUGCCUGAUAGGACAGCUAGGUCUGAGUACAGCCAAGACCCCCCCCCCCC